GGAGAAGGCCUACUCUCAAGGGCAGAGCAUCUGCUUUACAUGUACAAGGUCCCAGGUUCAAUUCCUGGCAUCUCCA